AACGAACGCUGGCGGCAUGCCUAACACAUGCAAGUCGAACGAGACCUUCGGGUCUAGUGGCGCACGGGUGCGUAACGCGUGGGAACCUGCCCUUAGGUUCGGAAUAACUCCCCGAAAGGGGUGCUAAUACCGGAUAAUGUCUUCGGACCAAAGAUUUAUCGCCUUUGGAUGGGCCCGCGUUGGAUUAGCUAGUUGGUAGGGUAAAAGCCUACCAAGGCGACGAUCCAUAGCUGGUCUGAGAGGAUGAUCUGCCACACUGGGACUGAGACACGGCCCAGACUCCUACGGGAGGCAGCAGUGGGGAAUAUUGGACAAUGGGCGAAAGCCUGAUCCAGCAAUGCCGCGUGAGUGAUGGAGGCCUUAGGGUUGUAAAGCUCUUUUACCCGGGAUGAUAAUGACAGUACCGGGAGAAUAAGCUCCGGCUAACUCCGUG
rnacentral:rRNA from 1 species